rnacentral:rRNA from 1 species
CAGUCGCCACGGUAAUACGUAGGUGGCAAGCGUUGUCCGGAAUUAUUGGGCGUAAAGGGCUCGCAGGCGGUUCCUUAAGUCUGAUGUGAAAGCCCCCGGCUCAACCGGGGAGGGUCAUUGGAAACUGGGAAACUUGAGUGCAGAAGAGGAGAGUGGAAUUCCACGUGUAGCGGUGAAAUGCGUAGAGAUGUGGAGGAACACCAGUGGCGAAGGCGACUCUCUGGUCUGUAACUGACGCUGAGGAGCGAAAGCGUGGGGAGCGAACAGGAUUAGAUACCCCCGUAGUCCCUGUCUCUUAUAA